ensembl:snRNA U4 U4 spliceosomal RNA
AGCUUUGUGCAGUGGCAGUAUUGUAGCCAAUGAGGUUUAUCCGAGGAGCUAUUGUUGCUAACACAAGAGAAAACAUUUUUACAACUUUUAGAAAAAGUUCACAUAACAUACUACAAGUACUUAUCAUCUUUGGCAUUCAUUAAGAGA